CAUCUCUGGAGAGUGCUUCCGCAGGAAGCCACCAAAGGAGGAACUCCGAUAGGGAGGAUACUCUCAGGUAAAGGGACAGGGGACAGGAU
rnacentral:ncRNA from 1 species